rnacentral:rRNA from 1 species
UACGGAGGGUGCAAACGUUGCUCGGAAUCAUUGGGCGUAAAGCGCGCGUAGGCGGCGAGGCAAGUUGGAUGUGAAAGCCCUGGGCUCAACCCAGGAUGUGCAUACAAAACUGCCUCGCUUGAAUCUCGGAGGGGGUCAGGGAAUUCCCGGUGUAGAGGUGAAAUUCGUAGAUAUCGGGAGGAACACCAGUGGCGAAGGGCGAACUACCCUGGCCUGUUCUUGACGCUGAGGCGCGAAAGCUAGGGGAGCAAACGGGG